rnacentral:lncRNA from 1 species
UAAAUUGCUAUAUUUCGGCGCCGACAUCAACGAAGAAAAAAAAACCAACACUGUAAUGAGAUAAAUCUCACGUACAGAUAAAAAAUUAAAUGUGCAUGUUAAAUAAUACGCCUGUAAUGAGAUGAAUCUCACGUACAGAAAACUGGGAUUCAUGUGAUUAAACAUAAGGCAACUUGAAGAAAAUCAUAAUCUGCAUACAAAACACAAUUU